UUUGCCCCACAGAAGCACAGUUUCCUCUUACCAGACAUAAGUUGACGCAAAUGUGCCCCAUCUAAUACAGAAGAACCCAACCAGCCACUUCUACAGAGAACACCUACAAACAUUUUAGGGAAAUGAAGCACAUCAGCCACCUACACAGCGAACAACACUAUACUCAUAAACUAAAUGUUUUUUCCGAGUACCUCUACAUAUGAAGACAUUGCAGCGUGAGAAGCGAAGCCUUUAUGAUUUAUUAAAAGCAUACUUCGCCUGUCAAAUGCCACCCUUGGUAUAACGACCGAUGAACUCUAUACGGAAAAAAAUAGGACAUAUCAACUAAUUUUUUUUUUAUGACUACAUAAAAUGUAGACAUUGCAGCGUGGAGUUAUAAGUUAAGUAUUCAGUCUCUUUUUAAUAGAUUCGCUGUUGAAAACUACACUAUGCCCUGGUUAUUUGGUAUGAUUUUAAGAGAGCCACAAUUGCACUAUAUACAUGUGAUGAUAUAAUAUUUGUUAUGGUUCAGAUUUUCUUGUAAAUAUUGAUAAAAGCCGAAAAAUUCUAAUGCUGCUUAUUUUUUUUCAAGCAUGGAGUAAGGUUGAGGCUAUUCUCCUACGCAAUCUUGAUGCGGGGGCGCCGAUGCUGACUGAGUAUCUGACUGGAGAUCGCUGAUGAUUUGGAAUCAAUAGUCAUAAAAUGUAUAUUUGUUAGGCAAAUAUCCAUAGCAAAUUAACCUUUGAAUUACCCUAUUAUAACUAUUAAGUAUUCAUUGUAAGAUUUACUUUUCGCUUCCGCUUAUUUAGAAAAUUUCAAUAUUUAUCAUGUUAAAAUUAAAUUUGCAUAUGUAUAAUAUACAGCUAUGGAUCUUGUAAUCACCAUAAAGUCUUUACUAUUUUAA